ACUCAAUUGAUUUUCUAGGCGAUAGCAGAUCUGUUGUCAUAUGGGUUUGUAACCUAACAGAGGACGUCAACUGCGAAAGGAUUUGCGAUGCAUAACUGCCUCAAAUCAAAACCUGUCUCCAUUGGGUUGAGAAUAAGAAAAACCAAACAUCGCACUCCGUCUCGCCUCCUCCACCAACGGAAAUUAUAUCCAUAAUAGAGUAAGGAUUAAGGUGAAUCUGAUUAUAAAGAUACAAUGAUAGCCACGACAUGAGAGAGAAGAAACUUCAAACUCAUUUGAAAAACAGAAAUAAUGCAAGAAAGGGAGAAAUAGCAGUGAAAACAAAUGGAUGCCAAGAGGAUCUUUCAGCAAAAUGGAGUGACAAUGGGAUUGAUUACAACCCUAAAAAGCAGCCGCCUAACACUCUCUCCAAAAGAAAAAGAAAGAGACAAAAAAGCUUCAAACAGCCUGCUACCUACACAGAGGCUGCUAAAGUUCUGAAAAUGGAUCCUUCCAUAAGAACCUCUUCAAGUCUAUAAAGGUUAGGAGAAGGCCAAAACGAUGCAUAUCAAAAGGGAAAAAAUGCAUUGGAAACAGGUUUAAUAGUCUAAAAAUUGCUUAGCAAGGAAUAUAUAUGAAGAGAUUAAGCGCUCUCUCUCUCUCUCUCUCUAGUUCUAUCAAUCUCA